AGCGAACGUUAGCGGCAGGCUUAACACAUGCAAGUCGAGCGAGAAAAGGGCUUCGGCCCCCAGUAAAGCGGCGGACGGGUGCGUAACACGUGGGUAAUGUGCCCUUCAGCGGGGGAUAACGGUCCGAAAGGAUCGCUAAUACCGCGUACGUCGGCGGGGUCUUCGGAUCCUGUCGGGAAAGAUGGCCUCUCCAUGGAAGCUAGCACUGAAGGAGCAGCCCGCGGCCCAUCAGCUAGUUGGCGGUGUAAUAGACCACCAAGGCGAAGACGGGUAGCUGGUCUGAGAGGAUGAUCAGCCACACUGGAACUGAGACACGGUCCAGACUCCUACGGGAGGCAGCAGUGGGGAAUAUUGGGCAAUGGGCGCAAGCCUGACCCAGCCAUGCCGCGUGAGUGAUGAAGGCCUUCGGGUCGUAAAGCUCUGUGGGGAGGGACGAAACCGGCUCGGGAUAAUACCCCGGGUUCUUGACGGUACCUCCUUAGCAAGCACCGGCUAACUCCGUGCCAGCAGCCGCCGUAAGAC
rnacentral:rRNA from 1 species